UACGUAGGGUGCGAGCGUUGUCCGGAAUUAUUGGGCGUAAAGAGCUCGUAGGCGGUUUGUUGCGUCGGCUGUGAAAACUUCACGCUUAACGUGGAGCCUGCAGUCGAUACGGGCAGACUUGAGUUCGGCAGGGGAGACUGGAAUUCCUGGUGUAGCGGUGAAAUGCGCAGAUAUCAGGAGGAACACCGGUGGCGAAGGCGGGUCUCUGGGCCGAUACUGACGCUGAGGAGCGAAAGCAUGGGGAGCGAACAGG
rnacentral:rRNA from 1 species